rnacentral:rRNA from 1 species
UACGUAGGGUGCGAGCGUUAAUCGGAAUUACUGGGCGUAAAGCGUGCGCAGGCGGUUCUCCAAGUCCGUUGUGAAAGCCCCGGGCUCAACCUGGGAAUGGCAGUGGAAACUAGGGGACUUGAAUCUGGCAGAGGGGGGUGGAAUUCCACGUGUAGCAGUGAAAUGCGUAGAGAUGUGGAGGAACACCAAUGGCGAAGGCAGCCCCCUGGGCUGAGAUUGACGCUCAGGCACGAAAGCGUGGGGAGCAAACAGG